GACGAACGCUGGCGGCGUGCUUAACACAUGCAAGUCGAACGGUGAAGCGCCUUCCUUUUUGGUGGGUGUGGAUGAGUGGCGAACGGGUGAGUAACACGUGAGUAACCUGCCCCCUUCUUCUGGAUAACCGCAUGAAAGUGUGGCUAAUACGGGAUAUUCUGGGUCUGUCGCAUGAUGGGUCUGGGAAAGAUAUUGUUUCGGUGGGGGAUGGGCUCGCGGCCUAUCAGCUUGUUGGUGGGGUGAUGGCCUACCAAGGCGGUGACGGGUAGCCGGCCUGAGAGGGUGGACGGUCACACUGGGACGGAGACACGGCCCAGACUCGUACGGGAGGCAGCAGUGGGGAAUAUUGCACAAUGGGCGCAAGCCUGAUGCAGCGACGCCGCGUGAGGGAUGGAGGCCUUCGGGUUGUGAACCUCUUUCGCCAGUGAAGCAGGCCUGCCUCGUUUGUGGGUGGGUUGACGGUAGCUGGAUAAGAAGCGCCGGCUAACUACGUG
rnacentral:rRNA from 1 species